CUUAGAUGUUAUUGAUAUAUAAAGUUGGGGAAUAAGAAUAAAUAAGGUAAUUUACAAGGGCUGAUAUAGUAUUAAGGAAUAGUUAAGGCAGAUAAUGAUUCUAUAUAUUUAGACUUGGGCAGCAAGGAUCUGACGUUUAAGAGGAUAAUUAUCAGAUUAAGUAAAUUUUAAGGAGAAGACACGUAUUAUAAUCGACGAGUCAUCUUCUCCCUUCAUCUUCAUUCUUUAAAAACCCCCCCUUCUGCCUAAUUUUAUACAUCAUCCCCCAUCAAGUUCCUAUCAAGAAAACACACAAAUAUCAUUUACCAAAUCAAGAAGUAAGAAGAAGCUCAUAUUCAAUCAUCGAAGAAAAGAUGGUGACUUGACGACCUUCCCGGUGAAGUUUCAUCGAGCGGGGGUUUACAGGCUUUAGUUCGGUGGAGAUUCCGACCCAUUUGAUUUGAUGACGAUUGCCUACUGUUAAUUUCAUAAUCCGAUUUGAGACACAGGUGCAGCUUGAACGAAUAAGAGGAUUUCCCGUCCGAGUAGUUACCUUGUUUAUAUUUGUAAAAUAGUGGUUCGAUUAAGUUAAGAAUAAUCGCUGUCUUGUAUUAUAAAUAUCAGCGUUUUAACUUAUUUAUGUUAUAGUAUUGUAAUCUCAUAAGCUAGGAGCUGUUGUUAUAAAUGUUCGGAACCUUUGUACUUUACCUUGCUAGAAGUGAGGUUGUUAAUAAAUAAAUCGUACGUAUUUUU